AAAAAGUAUAAUUAGCAAACAAAGAAAGUAAUGUAAAGGUAGGUGAAUGUGGGCAUAUACCCAUACCUAGCAAUGGAUAGAUCGUUAGAAGAGAAUCCUGCAACAUGAGAUUAGGAGCAACAUCAAAAUGGGGGUAAUUUCAAUUCAGCAAAAACAAAUGAAAACAAAUGAAAACAAAACCCAAGAGAAAAAAAAAAUACAAAUACAAAAACAUGUAACCAAUUG
rnacentral:lncRNA from 1 species